GACGAACGCUGGCGGCGUGCCUAAUACAUGCAAGUUGAGCGCUGAAGGUUGGUACUUGUACCAACUGGAUGAGCAGCGAACGGGUGAGUAACGCGUGGGGAAUCUGCCUUUGAGCGGGGGACAACAUUUGGAAACGAAUGCUAAUACCGCAUAAAAACUUUAAAUACAAGUUUUAAGUUUGAAAGAUGCAAUUGCAUCACUCAAAGAUGAUCCCGCGUUGUAUUAGCUAGUUGGUGAGGUAAAGGCUCACCAAGGCGAUGAUACAUAGCCGACCUGAGAGGGUGAUCGGCCACAUUGGGACUGAGACACGGCCCAAACUCCUACGGGAGGCAGCAGUAGGGAAUCUUCGGCAAUGGACGAAAGUCUGACCGAGCAACGCCGCGUGAGUGAAGAAGGUUUUCGGAUCGUAAAACCCUGUUGGUAGAGAAGAACGUUGGUGAGAGUGGAAAGCUCAUCAAGUGACGGUAACUACCCAGAAAGGGACGGCUAACUACGUG
rnacentral:rRNA from 1 species